UUCUAUGGUAGCUUAUAUAAAGUAUAGCUUUGAAGAGGCUAAGAAAAAUGUAGAAG
rnacentral:tRNA from 1 species